CGUCCGCAGAUCCGACCAAUCAGCGAUCAGCCUACAGAAGUAACGUAGUGAAAGUUUUUAAAAAGAGGCGCGAUCAAGAUGGCGGAAGAGUCAUUGGAAAGUUCCUCGGCGAAGGCUUUAGUUAGCCUAAAAGAGGGCAAAGGCUGCUACAGGACGCCUCCUCGACGAGGAA